rnacentral:rRNA from 1 species
UGGGGAAUAUUGCACAAUGGGCGAAAGCCUGAUGCAGCGACGCCGCGUGAGGGAUGACGGCCUUCGGGUUGUAAACCUCUUUCUAGCAGGGAAGAAGCGAAAGUGACGGUACCUGCAGAAGAAGCGCCGGCUAACUACGUGCCAGCAGCCGCGGUAAUACGUAGGGCGCGAGCGUUGUCCGGAAUUAUUGGGCGUAAAGAGCUCGUAGGCGGCUUGUCACGUCGGUUGUGAAAGCCCGGGGCUUAACCCCGGGUCUGCAGUCGAUACGGGCAGGCUAGAGUUCGGUAGGGGAGAUCGGAAUUCCUGGUGUAGCGGUGAAAUGCGCAGAUAUCAGGAGGAACACCGGUGGCGAAGGCGGAUCUCUGGGCCGAUACUGACGCUGAGGAGCGAAAGCGUGGGGAGCGAACAGGAUUAGAUACCCUGGUAGUCCACGCCGUAAACGGUGGGCACUAGGUGUGGGCGACAUUCCACGUCGUCCGUG